GUGGGUUUCCUGCUUUGGGGGGGUAGACUAGAAGACCUCCAAGUCCCUUCCAACUGUUAUUCUAUUCUAUUCUGAUUAUUCUGUUCUGUUCUAUUAUCCCUAUUCUGUCCUAUUGUAUUCUUAUUCCAUUCCAUUCUGUUAUUCUAUUCUAUUCUCAUACUUUCCUGUUCUGUUCUGAUUUCUCUAUUCUGUUCUGUUCUAUUCUGUUCUAUUAUUCCCAUUCUAUCCUAUUGUAUUCCUAUUCCAUUCCUAUUCUAUUCUAUUCGCACUUCCACAACCAGCAAGUCUUGAAUAAGCAUUGAUGAUCUUAGAUACGCAUCGUGCAAAGCCAGCCAGUUUAAUCAGCUCGCGGGAGAGAGGGCAUGAGUUGCUGGUGCCCAGAAAGCGGAUCAAUUCUGGACCUCCGUCAAGCGUCCAGGUUCUGCCGCCCAAGUGUAGCUUUCCACACCAAAGCUCCGCAAAGCAGAGCCAGAGAAAGCUUUAAAGCCCGCGCCUGCGCAGAGAAGACCUGCGCACGGGAGUUUGGGCAUUCUGCACGUCGCGCAUGCGCAGGUUGCGUUACGGCCCUCGCGAGGAGGAGGAGGGCAAGAGGCGUUUCCGCAGCAGCAAGGGGGACGUCUGCGACUGGAAGGCCUCUGGGACUCGAGUGCGCAUGCUUACUCCGCAGCAAGGGGGACGUCUGCGACUGGAAAGCCUCCGGGACUCGAGCGCGCAUGCGCUCUCCACCCUCCGUCCCCGUUCCACCCGUGGACGCCGCCGCCGCCGCCUUUCCCGCGGCGACCUGGAAGCGGAAUGCGGGAGGCGGGGCCAGGCGGAGAAGGCCGCGCAGUCGCCGUCGGGCUGCUGAGCAUCAAUGUAUUUCAGAUGGCAGCUAUGAGCCUUUUUCUUCCUGAUGUAACUAAUGUUCGUGGGUUCUAGUGUACACCAAACAAAAACAAGGUAAGAAAUCUGUUUUUAACCAUUAUAUGUACGUUUCUGUUUCAAAAUAAGCACUGCGGUUAUGAUAUUAAAUAUAUAUGCAUAAAAUUAACCUGUGAGGAUAAAUUCCAAUUUAAAUAAUUAUGUUCAUAUUCUUAAUCUUGGAUCCGUGGGGUGCUUGGCAUUUUGCUGUUUUCUCUCUCGUUUUUCUCCCCUACCAAUGGAGGAAAGCGAACAGAGACAUUGAAAAACCCUCAAAGGCAUGCUCGC
rnacentral:lncRNA from 1 species